rnacentral:lncRNA from 1 species
UUUGUUUCUGAGGAAAGGUCUAUGGAAGUUCAAAAUUUUUCUUUGAGAAAGGAGACGAUUGAAAUUUUUUUAUUCUGGGGAGAUUAGAAUUUUUCAAAGUGUUUUAACUGGAAUUCAUCUUGAAUUAACUUCAUAUUAAUUAUCGGUUUUACUCCACUGUUUAUUAUUUUGACGAUAAUUUAAUAUAUGAUUUCUUAAUACAUAUAUUCAUAAAAAUUUUGAAAUCAAAUUUGAUCUCUUGAUGAUUAAUCUAUCUCGGUUGUGAGUGUUGAAUAUGAUGGAUGGAUAUUCACUAAUCGAC